rnacentral:rRNA from 1 species
UACGUAGGCAGCGAGCGUUGUUCGGAGUUACUGGGCGUAAAGGGUGCGUAGGCGGCCCGGUAAGUCAGUGGUGAAAGCCUCCAGCUCAACUGGAGAACUGCCAUUGAUACUGCCGGGCUUGAGUACAGACGAGGUUGGCGGAAUUGAUUGUGUAGCGGUGAAAUGCAUAGAUACAAUCAAGAACUCCGAUUGCGUAGGCAGCUAACUAGGCUGUAACUGACGCUGAGGCACGAAAGCGUGGGGAGCGAACAGG